rnacentral:rRNA from 1 species
AGAUUGAACGCUGGCGGCAUGCCUUACACAUGCAAGUCGAACGGUAGAGUAGCAAUACUUGAGAGUGGCGAACGGGUGAGUAAUAUAUCGGAACGUGCCCAGUCGUGGGGGAUAACGUAGAGAAAUUUACGCUAAUACCGCAUACGAUCUAAGGAUGAAAGCGGGGGACCGUAAGGCCUCGCGCGAUUGGAGCGGCUGAUAUCAGAUUAGGUUGUUGGUGAGGUAAAAGCUCACCAAGCCGACGAUCUGUAGCUGGUUUGAGAGAACGACCAGCCACACUGGGACUGAGACACGGCCAGACUCCGUACGGGAGGCAGCAGGUGGGGUAAUUUGGACAAGUGGGACGAAAGCCUGACUCCAGCAAGUGCCGCGUGCGAAGGAACGAAGGCCGUUAGGGUUACGUAAACGUGUACGUUUAGGUAACCGG